rnacentral:rRNA from 1 species
ACUCUCAGCAACGGAUAUCUCGGCUCUCGCAACGAUGAAGAGCGCAGCGAAAUGCGAUACAUGGUGUGAAUUGCAGAAUUCCGCGAAUCAUCGAAUACUUGAACGCAACUUGUGCCCGAGGCUUGUCCGAGGGCGUGCCUGCCUGAGCGUCC